GCCGCUGUAGCUCAGUUGGUAGAGCAGCUGAUUUGUAAUCAGCAGGUCGCCGGUUCGGAUCCGGCCAGCGGCU
rnacentral:tRNA from 1 species